rfam:Gossypium raimondii Chr04_contig_1395, whole genome shotgun sequence.
UAUUAAAAAUUUCAUCCAGUUAUACUGUUAAAAACAGGUGUGGCUAACGCAAUAACCAGACAGUGCCACGUGGUAUGCCACGUAUACCUCAUGCUGAUGUAUAGGGACUAUUUUUUAAUAGUAGAAAUGGAUAGAAUUUUUAACC